GACGAACGCUGGCGGCGUGCUUAACACAUGCAAGUCGAACGGAAAGGCCCUGCUUUUGUGGGGUGCUCGAGUGGCGAAAGGGUGAGUAACACGUGAGUAACCUGCCCUUGACUUUGGGAUAACUUCAGGAAACUGGGGCUAAUACCGGAUAGGAGCUCCUGCUGCAUGGUGGGGGUUGGAAAGUUUCGGCGGUUGGGGAUGGACUCGCGGCUUAUCAGCUUGUUGGUGGGGUAGUGGCUUACCAAGGCUUUGACGGGUAGCCGGCCUGAGAGGGUGACCGGCCACAUUGGGACUGAGAUACGGCCCAGACUCCUACGGGAGGCAGCAGUGGGGAAUAUUGCCCAAUGGGCGGAAGCCUGAUGCAGCAACGCCGCGUGCGGGAUGACGGCCUGCGGGUUGUAAACCGCUUUCGCCUGUGACGAAGCGUGAGUGACGGUAAUGGGUAAAGAAGCACCGGCUAACUACGUG
rnacentral:rRNA from 1 species